rnacentral:rRNA from 1 species
UCCUACGGGAGGCAGCAGUGAGGAAUAUUGGUCAAUGGACGAAAGUCUGAACCAGCCAGCCGCGUGCAGGAUGACUGCCUUAUGGGUUGUAAACUGCUUUUAUUCAGGAAGAAAUGUCCCCACGAGUUGGGUACUUGACGGUACUGUUUGAAUAAGGAUCGGCUAACUCCGUGCCAGCAGCCGCGGUAAUACGGAGGAUCCAAGCGUUAUCCGGAAUCAUUGGGUUUAAAGGGUCCGUAGGCGGGUAGAUUAGUCAGCGGUGAAAGUUUAUGGCUCAACCAUAAAAUUGCCGUUGAUACUGUUUAUCUUGAAUAAGUGUGAAGUGGUUAGAAUGAGUAGUGUAGCGGUGAAAUGCAUAGAUAUUACUCGGAAUACCAAUUGCGAAGGCAGAUCACUAACACUUUAUUGACGCUGAGGGGCGAAAGCGUGGGGAGCAAACAGGAUUAGAUACCCUGGUAGUCCACGCNGUAAACGAUGGAUACUAGUUGUUCGGGUUACAUUGGUAGUGAGUGACUAAGCGAAACAUAANU